AGAGUUUGAUUAUGGCUCACAUUGAACGCUGGCGGCAUGCCUAACACAUGCAAGUCGAACGAUGAAGAAACAGCUUGCUGUUUUGGAUUAGUGGCGGACGGGUGAGUAAUGUAUAGGGAUCUGCCUAGUAGUGGGGGACAACGUGUGGAAACGCACGCUAAUACCGCAUACGCUCUACGGAGGAAAGCGGGGGCUCUUCGGACCUCGUGCUAUUAGAUGAACCUAUAUCAGAUUAGCUAGUUGGUGGGGUAAAGGCCUACCAAGGCGACGAUCUGUAGCUGGUUUGAGAGAAUGAUCAGCCACACUGGGACUGAGACACGGCCCAGACUCCUACGGGAGGCAGCAGUGGGGAAUAUUGCACAAUGGAGGAAACUCUGAUGCAGCAAUGCCGCGUGUGUGAAGAAGGCCUUCGGGUUGUAAAGCACUUUCAAUAGGGAGGAAAAGUAGUAAGUUAAUACCUUGCUACCGUGACGUUACCUAUAGAAGAAGGACCGGCUAACUCCGUGCCAGCAGCCGCGGUAAUACGGAGGGUCCGAGCGUUAAUCGGAAUUACUGGGCGUAAAGCGCGCGUAGGCGGAUAUAUAAGUCAGAUGUGAAAUCCCCGGGCUCAACCUGGGAACUGCAUUUGAAACUGUAUAUCUAGAGUGUGGUAGAGGUGAGUGGAAUUUCAGGUGUAGCGGUGAAAUGCGUAGAGAUCUGAAGGAACAUCAGUGGCGAAGGCGACUCACUGGGCCAUUACUGACGCUGAGGUGCGAAAGCGUGGGUAGCAAACAGGAUUAGAUACCCUGGUAGUCCACGCCCUAAACGAUGUCAACUAGGUGUAUGGAAUGAAUUUUCUGUGUAUCGAAGCUAACGCGAUAAGUUGACCGCCUGGGGAGUACGGUCGCAAGACUAAAACUCAAAUGAAUUGACGGGGGCCCGCACAAGCGGUGGAGCAUGUGGUUUAAUUCAAUGCAACGCGAAGAACCUUACCUGGCCUUGACAUGUACGGAACUUUCCAGAGAUGGAUUGGUGCCUUCGGGAACCGUAACACAGGUGCUGCAUGGCUGUCGUCAGCUCGUGUCGUGAGAUGUUGGGUUAAGUCCCGCAACGAGCGCAACCCU
rnacentral:rRNA from 1 species